UACGGAGGGGGCUAGCGUUGUUCGGAAUUACUGGGCGUAAAGCGCGCGUAGGCGGACCUGCAAGUCGGGGGUGAAAGCCCGAGGCUCAACCUCGGAACUGCCUUCGAUACUGCGGGUCUCGAGUCCGGGAGAGGUGAGUGGAUUUCCUAGUGUAGAGGUGAAAUUCGUAGAUAUUAGGAAGAACACCAGUGGCGAAGGCGGCUCACUGGCCCGGUACUGACGCUGAGGCGCGAAAGCGUGGGGAGCAAACAGG
rnacentral:rRNA from 1 species